rnacentral:rRNA from 1 species
UCAAGAAACUUCCACAAUGGGCGAAAGCCUGAUGGAGCGACGUCGCGUGAUGGACGAAGUGCCUCGGCACGUAAACAUCUUUUAUGUGGGAUGAAAUUAUUGACAGUACCACAUGAAUAAGGGGCUCCUAACUCUGUGCCAGCAGGAGCGGUAAUACAGAGGCCCCAAGCGUUAUCCGGAAUCACUGGGCGUAAAGGGUGUCGAGGCGGUUGUAUUAGUCGUUCGUAAAAUCUACGAGCUUAACUUGUAGGCGGCGAACGAAACGGUACGACUUGAGGUUUGGAGAGGUGCGUGGAACUCAUGGUGGAGGGGUGAAAUCCGUUGAUAUCAUGGGGAACACCAAAGGCGAAGGCAGUGCACUGGUACGUUCCUGACGCUCAAACACGAAAGCCAGGGUAGCGAAGAGGAUUAGAUACCCAUGUAGUCCCUGAGCGGGCUGGCAAGGCGCAU